CAGGGCGUAGCUCAGCUUGGUAGAGCGCGUGGUUUGGGUCCACGAGGUCGCUGGUUCGAAUCCAGUCGCCCUGA
rnacentral:tRNA from 5 species